rnacentral:tRNA from 1 species
GGGGGUGUAGCUCAGCUGGGAGAGCGCUUGCUUCGCAUGUAAGAGGUCAGGAGUUCGAAUCUCCCCAUCUCCACCA